GUAGUACUAGGAUGGGUGACCUCC
rnacentral:ncRNA from 3 species